CGCUGCUCAGAGCAAAACCGUCGAAAGGCGGUGACGCAGAGCCACGGGGCUAACGCGGUUCGAUCCGCUAUGCUCGCCGGGCCGCCAGC
rnacentral:ncRNA from 1 species